rnacentral:snoRNA from 1 species
GGAGCGUGAUGAGGAUGAUUCUAAAUUUUCAGAUUUUAAUGAUCGGAAAUCAAUACUUACCUCCUACUCAUUCUGA